UAUUAUGCCCUUAUAUAUAUAUAUAUAUACACUGUGUUAAUACAUAACACGUUCCUGUGAUUUCGUCAUUCAAUUUUGGCAGUUUUUAUCAUUCUAAUUCAAAUGGAUACAUUUCUAUCUUGCAUGCUAUCAUUCUAUCGUUCUGAGACUUUGAUGUGCUAGGGUUUCAUUGUUGCUCUGGUUCGGUGAUUUUCAAGUGAAGACGACGAAUUUCAUAUUGUUCGAUUUUCACAUUUUCUGGAGUAUAACUACUUCAAAGUGGUUGUUUUCGAGUUUCUGGACAAUUGUAGGAUUGCAUGAUUAAGGAGAUGAAUACCUUUAUGAUGUUGGUGUAUACAUAUGGUUGCAGUACCACUGUAAUAAAUGCUGCCCACGCAUUGUGUUAUUCGCAUUUGGUAGACUGUUUGUGUGAAAAAUGGGGGGAGUUGUCUGCUGGUUCUAUUUCAUUGUUCUGUCGGUUGGCAAAGAUUGUGUCAGUUGGCAAAGAUUGUGUUACAAUAAGAUUACGUUGCGUUGGCAAAUAUACUAAUGCAUUAGUAUUUGAUUUGUGUUUUGUUUUUAAUUUUUUAAGGUACCAAUCUGAUGUUUAUGUUAUUGUGUUUUGGAUGAAUGCAUGGUGUUAACUUU